rnacentral:rRNA from 1 species
UACGAAGGGGGCUAGCGUUGCUCGGAAUUACUGGGCGUAAAGCGCACGUAGGCGGUCUUUUAAGUCGGGGGUGAAAUCCUGGAGCUCAACUCCAGAACUGCCUUCGAUACUGGAAGACUUGAGUCCGGGAGAGGUGAGUGGAACUGCGAGUGUAGAGGUGAAAUUCGUAGAUAUUAGGAAGAACACCAGUGGCGAAGGCGGCUCACUGGCCCGGUACUGACGCUGAGGCGCGAAAGCGUGGGGAGCAAACAGG